CUUUCCACUGUUUGAUUUCCAUGAUAAACUUUCCCGACAUCAACUUUCUUACUAAGGUCACAUUCCAUCGAUUGAAUCAAAAUGCCAUGGCUACGCCAUUGCCAACUCCAGCUAAAUUCCCUUGCAGCUGAAAGCUCUGUACCAGCACCACCCUUUACUACUUUGCUUGCCAUGUUUACUUCUUUUCUCAUCUUUCCUCUGAGUUGUACCUACACCACCU
rnacentral:lncRNA from 1 species